GGCGCCGUUGCUAAGUGGUAAAGCAAGGGACUGCAAAUCCCUUAUACGUGGGUUCGAUUCCCACCGGCGCCUCCG
rnacentral:tRNA from 1 species